AUCUCUGGGUUAUUUGUGGGGCAUAGGAAUUCGUUCAUCCCCCCGCCCCCCAAAAAAAUAGUCCAACCCACCACAUGGUCUGAGGGACGGUGGACCAUCCUACAGCUGAAAAAGGUUGCUGACCCCUGGGAUAGACCCCUGGGUGACAUUUCUUUUAAAGUUGAAAUAGAAGGAUAUGAUUGGGGCUGUGGGGCAGUGGGACAGAAAUAAUGUGGCCUUGAGAUUCUGGAGGAAACGGUGUGAAGCUUUCUAUGUAAUGAACCUUAGCAGAGAAAUAUGCAAGCACCAAUCAGAAUGCAUUUAGAUGCAUUAGCCCAUUGGCCUGCAUGGUACCAAUCACUUCUUAAGAGGCUCUCUCUAUGGAACUGAAUAUACUCAGUGGGUUACCACCUCUCAAGUGGCAAUGGUGAAAUUUUUAUUUUUAAAAUAGCCGUGUGUUUCCAGUUACUGCAUAGCCCUAACGGGUUUGAGCAUAUGACUGGGACACAGGGAUGUGAUGAUUUUCAUUCCUUUCGCAAGCAAGCAAGCUUAUUAUUGACAACAAUUGGAUCCCAUCUCUCAAGGGCAAAAAAAAAAAAAAAAAUGCCUUUGUUUUCACAGUGAUGGCACACAAGUCUUCCAAACUCUCCAUCAGAAAGACUGGAAAGAAAACUGCAAUACUCGUUGCCAGUGUUAUGGACCACAUGUGCCGUUUUAAUUACAGUCACGAUGAGAUGAGAUGGUGCCAUGGGAGUUCAUUUAAUUUUUUUAAAAAGCAGUGACAAAAAGUAUAUUAAAGAUCUGAUGUGGGCUAUAUGAUGGCUGAGUGCCGGAGGUGCUGUUUUUAGGAGACUUUGAUCUCGUGUCAGUAAAAAGCAAACAAACUUCAGAUUCAAAGGACUGGACAGGAAUACUAAUUGUAGACUGGCUGGUCCAGUUGUGUUUUGUUUUGUUGAUUCAGAUUUUCAUGCUACCCCAUCACAUCUGUCUCACACUGGGUGUUAUUGAAAGAAGUACAUGUUGGCUUGGCUACAAAUGGCUAUCCAAAGAGAAUGGUUUUGCAUUGCCUAUAUUUUUGGAUCAGCCGUCACAAAUACCUUUUUGCUAGGCCAGAACCACCUCAAGAUGUUUUGCUGCCAUUGAUCCACCACUGGCCUGCAGCUUUUGGUAGGAUUCCAGUGUGGGAAUGUGGCUCUCGAGUUGACAAAGAUUCCCCUAUCUGGACCACAUAGAAUGGAUGGAAUACCUCUUUUGAAUUUGGUCAGCCACAACACCAUUGGAAGCAUAGGAGGUGCCAUGUUUCUUUCCCCUGAACACGUUUGGAGGACAAUUUAGGUUCACUCUGAAUGCGGUAGACCAUGAAGAAAAAGUCCAUAGAAAGACAAGGUUAGUCACUGUAAAAGUUUUCUUUUUUACAACAAAAUUUGAUCAAGGCAUGAAUUACCACCCACAGGUGGCUUGUAAAUUGUCAUGAGAUCACUGUUAUGCAUUCAUUUCUAGCUUUGAUCCCUUCAAAAUAUUAUAGUUGUAGGGCAAAAAUUGCCUGGGAGUCGUUGCUUAAGAUUAUAUCAUGUUUCCAUCUGAAAAUUUAAUCAGGAGUGAGACGACAAUUCAGAUAUUAACUCUGUUUACCUGGUGAGGUGUUUGAUUUCCCUCCUCUUUCCCCUCCUUCUCUGAAAAUCCCAGGGCACAGGGUGAUUUGCUUUUGAAAAUUAACACAAUUUUAAAAGACCAUCUCACCCCUUAUAUGCUCAACUAAUCACUGAGCCUCUUGCAGAUACCAUCUCAUCAGGUAGUUAUAUGGACCAGACCUUUAGUGUGGUGACAACUACUUUUCCAAACUGUCUCUAGUUACAUGUCAGACAGGCACUGUCUCUGUUGCUUUCCUUUUUUCCAGCAAGUCUUCUAAGUGGAAUUUUUUUAUCUCAAUCUGUAUCUCUAUUAGAUUUGAAAAUGUUUUUACAGGCAGAGUUGUUGUAAUUGUUUGUAUAUAUGGAACUGCUUUUAUUGUUGAUGUUUUUGCUGUGAAAACGCUUUGGGGUGUGUUUUAUAGGAAGCGAUUCAUAGACAGAAUCCAAUAAAAAAAUGAAAACCACAUGUAAUGUGAUACUUGGUGUGAGGGCUUCAGUUUAAAGACAUCCGAAGUCUGCUUGGUCCAUGCAAACCUUUGGGUAUACAAAGGUUUAUAGGUUUGGGGUGCACAAUAGACUCAAUUACCCUUUUCCUCCCAAUAUAAGAGAAACGUACAUAGCUAAAGGACAGCUUAUUCUAUGGUAUUAACUACUUCAUGCAUUAAUUCAACUUAAGCUUGUUGGUUAUAUGAGGCUGGUUAUCUCACAUGAAUUGCAGUGAACUGGGAAGUCCAUUUCCAUGGAAGAGCUCUGUGCAUUAGAGCACACUUGAGAUUCUGGAGUAUAAUAAAUACAGUAUAUGGUCCUGGAACCCUAACCUGUGACAGGACCCUGAAUCUGUUUCAUUUGCUCUGUUACUAGUCUUGGCCCUAAUUUACAGCACAAUCCCAUAGAUGUCUUCUCAGAAGUAAGUCUGCAUUUAAUGAGAUUCACUCCCAGAUAAAGUGUUUGUUGAUUGCAGCUUUAAUUUUAUGAGUUGCUUUUAUUGGAUUCGACCAAAGCCUACCCUUGAAAGCUCUCCGGGCACAAUUUGUUGGCUCAGAAUUUUGUCAGUUCUCUUUGUGUGUUGCAGGCUUCUUGUAGAACCUGCAUCGUGUGUUGCUUUUAGAAAGUAACCUACCAAGCAGACUAAGUACUGUAGUUAAUGACGGGACCGUUGUCAGAUUACCACAGCACUGAAAGAAUGCUUAAUAAAACAAACCAGAAUCUGAUAUUUAAAAAGCAUUUAACAAGAAAGGGAAAUACUGUUUAUUUUGGAAAGAUUUAUGGGGAUGACAUAAUAUAGGUUUUUUUCUUCUUCUUAUCUCCUCACCUGUUUUUCCUCAGGGUGACUAUCAAUUUUUAUUAGCUUUCUAGAGCCAGAAAGAUGAAAAAUGAUGGACAAAUUUUAAAAUAGGAUAAAAAUGCUGAAAAGAUAUGAAAGAUAUCUUGGGGAAAAUCCUCUUCAUGUAAUACCUGUUGAAGUUGAAUUGAAAGAGGGAGGAACUUCAUGAGAGACAGACGAUCUGAUAAUAAUAAUUUUUUGUGGAAUUGGAAUCCUUUGUAACAGAAGAAUGUGCAAGGUUAGACAGAUAUUGUCCUACACUGGUCCCAUCUAGAAGGACAUCCUUUGAACUCCCUAGGUGUGCUUUACUUUAAUUCCUUAAGUAAUUCAAAAAGGGGUGUCAUUAAAAAAACCACAACCCAAUAAAACUGUUUUUGCAGACAUAAAUACAAAAGCAUAGCUCUGAACUUUUCAUCAUCAUACUCUUAAUUUUACACUCAAGAUCACUUACCUGGGAUUAAUUACUAUUUAACACCCUUUAACCUCCCCAUAGAGGCACGCGGGUGGCACUGUGGUCUAAACCACUGAGCCUCUUGAGGUUGCCGAUCAGAAGGUCGGUGGUUUGAAUCCCCGCAAUGGGGUGAGCUCCCGUUUCUCAGUCCCAGCUCCUGCCAACCUAGCAGUUCGAAAGCACGCCAAAAAAGUGCAAGUAGAUAAAUAGGUACCACUCCAGUGGGAAGGUAAAUGGCGUUUCCGGGUGCUGCUCUGGUUUCGGUGUGCCAGAAGUGGCUUAGUCAUGCUGGCCACAUGACCCGGAAAAACUGUCUGCUGACAAAUGCCGGCUCCCUCGGUCGGUAAAGCGAGAUGAGCGCUGCAACCCCAGAGUCGGCAGCAACUGGUUUAACUGUCAGGGGUCCUUUACCUUUACCUCUUUUUUUAACCUCCCCAUAUGUACUCAAAAUCUGGGUGGGCACGGCUAAAGAGUAGGUUUUCUAUUCAUUCAAUGUUUCUGAGGGAAGUUGGCCUUCAAAUCUGUGCUUGUGCUUGUCAUUUAUAUAGUAAGUGAGCAUGCCUGAAAUGCUUAAUGUAUAUUAUAUCAGAAUCCUUGCAGCAGCCUUGUAAGGAACAGGCAUGUGGUAGUAUUGCUGCAGAUAGCAGGAUCGGCCCAUGAAAUCUUGCUGCCUGAGGGGGAACAGAAAAUGCUCCCUUUCCAGAUCGAGGUGCAUAGCAUGAAAGGCCGCCCGGGCUAUUUUGGCACCCUCAGCACAAAAUUCCAUAAAUGUUUCUUGUGGGAUUAAAAAUACAAUAAGAAUAAAUCAAAAAGUAACAAUUCGCUGGCCUUCCACAAUACCCAAAGUCAGCUGCCUUAAGGUAGUUGCCUCACGUUACCUCAGCCUUCACCAAACUCCGUAUGUUGUUAAACUGCAUCUCCCAUCAGCCCCAGCCAGCCAGCAGUCACAACAUCUGGAGAGCGUCAGGUUGAGGAAGGCUGCCUAUUGGUAGGCCUGCAUGGUUGAGGAGUAUGAUUUCAUGGCAGAUGUUCAUGGCAGAAGUCUGAAUUGGAGGCUGUUCUGAUUUAUUUAUUUAUUUCUAAAAUUACGAUUUGCAUGCAACCUUUUAAGAGUAACAACCCUGUCCAGUUUAUAGAUCAGCCUCAUGUAUCCUAAUCCUAUGCAUGUCUACUCAGAAGUAAGUCCCAGUGAGUUCAGUGGAACUUACUCCCAGGUUAAUACGGCUAGGAUCUCAGAUUUAGCUAUUACAUUACAGCAGUUCAUCCUGUGUCCUGCAAGGCAGAACACUCAUGUCUCAACAAAUGAAACUGACCUGUUGAAAAUGUAACUUGAAAAAGAGACAUUGCACAUACUUUUGUAAACC